ACCGACGAGGGCGACUAUCAGGUCAAGCUGAAAAACCUGACGCGCUUUCUUGAAGGUGGUGACAAGGGGAAGGUCACAUUGCGCUUCCGUGGUCGUGAAAUGGCACACCAGGAUAUCGGCAGAAAGCUGAUGGAAAGGAUUGCCGCCGACCUGGAAGAUAUCGGAGCGGUCGAAUCAUUUCCGAAGAUGGAAGGCCGCCAGAUGAUCAUGAUCCUUGCCCCGAAAAAGAAGUGAUCCAACGGCGAAGUUAACGGGCUGCCAUGAUUGGCAGUUGGCCCUGGAUUUUCUAAAAAACAUCGAGCGGAGUUUUCCUCAUGCCGA
rnacentral:misc_RNA from 1 species